CAGUAGCCGCGGGAAUGCGUAGGGUGCAAGCGUUAAUCGGAAUUACUGGGCGUAAAGCGUGCGCAGGCGGUUCGCUAGACAGAUGUGAAAUCCCCGGGCUUAACCUGGGGACUGCAUUUGUAACUGGCGGGCUAGAGUAUGGCAGAGGGGGGUGGAAUUCCACGUGUAGCAGUGAAAUGCGUAGAGAUGUGGAGGAACACCGAUGGCGAAGGCAGCCCCCUGGGCCAAUACUGACGCUCAUGCACGAAAGCGUGGGGAGCAAACAGGAUUAGAUACCCGAGUAGUCCCUGUCUCUUAUACA
rnacentral:rRNA from 1 species